AGCAGUCACAGGCCUCACCCAGCUCCCACAGAAUCUGAAGGACUAGUCUCACUCCCUCUGUGUCCUCUGAACAGCCCUCAGUCUUUUUCCAGUCGGAGGGCGAUAUGGCUUGAAAACUUGCCCGAGGCUUUAAGCCUCCCAGCUGUGAAAGAAAAGGGCUUUAGUUAUUCUCCGGCUGUGAAGUCUGCAAGCGGGAUUCUCGCCCUCCCCCAUGUUCCGACCAGGAGGCUUCUCACCCGGUUCAAAUUGUUACAAAGUUCAGCUAGAGAAUUCCUUCUCGCUGUGGAGUUUUACUCCCUGCUCCUCUGGCCACCCUCCUGAACGAUCCCUGUGGUGCCAGGCAGGAAUGGGCUGCUUGGGGACCCAGCGAGCUCCCAGGGCCUUCCUGCUGCUUUCUCUACCCCUGCAUUUCGCUCGGCUCGGCUCUCUAAGUUGACUCAGCUCCAGAAAAGCCUCAAUAAUACAGAUGUUUGGUGCUAAGAGUGAUUCUUGAAGAACGGAAUCUUAAGGCUUUGCCAGAGAGCCUGCGAAUGUUACAGAAGGACUGUGAGGUCAGCCAGCUGCUCCCAUGGAACGCCGAUGACAUGCUGGGAGUGCAGUACUGCACUGCGCACAGCCUCGUGGAUGAGCCGAGAGCCGGCUCUCACAGGAUGGGGUUGGCAACUUUGGCCACGUUCACCUAUGCAUAAGAAAGAGACUGCAAGACACUCCAUGCAUCUGCUUUUACAAAUUAAGACCAAAUAUAGAAGAGACAUCAAAAAGAUUUUCAUCAUCGCCUGCUAAGAGCAGGGGAGGGCAGAGGAAAGAGCGAAUGGAAACUAGAGAGGAAAGAGAAUAGAGGCAGAUCACUGAGGAAGAGGAAAGCUGUGUGGACACAGGGCCCGUCUGGUGGAACGGCCCAUCUCACAGCUGUUAGGUUUUUUAAUGUAUAGAUGGGCCUAUUUCUGUCUGUUUGCUGGUUUGUUCAUUUGGCUGUUUUCUUCUCUUCGUUGGCAUAAAGAGGAGUAUCAUAUUUUGGCAUCCGAUCUCUACCUAAAUCCCAAAUAAAAUGAGAAGGCAGCCUAGUAGGUGUUGCUAGGGAACAAGGGGAGCAUUGCCUACAUCCAGCAUGAGAAGGGGAGGACGAGGACAAGGACAGGCCAGGGCAGGAAGUCAAGUCCCCAAACUCAACCCUGGGGGAGACAGAGUGAGAUGCUGAAGCCUGACCAUCCCUCCCUCUCGGGGAAAAGAAAGGCAGAGACAGAGGGGCCAUCACACCCCUGAUGCUUGCAUGAGAUUUUGCUGAGGGCCAGCAGGAGCUGCUGGCUGGGGGGUCAUUUAGACAAAGAUGGAGUCCAACCAAAAAAUUACCUUAAUCGCAUAAUUGAAGAGCCAGCGUAAAAAGCCUACAAAGUAAAAGAGACAUCUGUGUGCAUUCACCAGACAAGCUACUCCCUUUUUGCCUUUGCUCCAGGGCUGCCUCCCCCCGAGGCCCUCUCUGAGCACUCUAAAAUAGUGUUCUAAACCGCAGCCCUUCCCUCCUUCUGUACAUCAGCAGCCCCUUACCCUGCUCCUUUUUUUUUUUUUUUUGCCUUAGGUCAUUUGAUGUCAUUUUUCUCAGUGCAAUAACCACUCAUUCUCUCUCCCUACCACCAGAAUAAAAGCCCUCCAGGAGCAGAAGCCUUGUCUGGUCUGUUCACUCGUGCACCCCAAGUGAAUUGAACAGUGACUCACACACAGUAUACCCUCAGUACACGUGUGUUCAAUGAACGAAAGACAACCUCUUCAUCUCCCAGCCGCAAAUCCUUUCAGAAUCAUGUUGAGUCGUGAGUUUAAAGUGGGUUGAUUAGGGAGACCUAGGGCCAGGGGUGAGACAACAUCAGGAAGUACUCCCUAGGUACAAAAAAAAAAAUUAGAAAAUGAACUUUUUUUUAGCAAAUGUUUAUUUAUAUCAAAAUACAAAACAUUUCUGAAGCAGAGUAAUGUUACAUGAGGAGCAAUUAAAUACUAAACAUCUUUCCAUCAGUUUAACUUGCAACACUCCCGGGGUACCUUCACUGGCUGCACAUCUCGUCAUUUGAUGUGCCUUCUUUUUUCUCGUUUGCUUAUGCACUUGUUUGCUCAUUUUGCUUUUUAAUUCAGGAUAUGAACAUGCAGUGUUACUGGGGAUGAGUUGGUUAGUACUUAGCAAGCCUGAAAAUACCAGCGAGUGGAGCCUGGCGUGGUAGCCUGAGCUGAGGCAGGCUGCAGGUUCUCUUCCUAAUUGAGUCUGGGGUGUCACUCCAUUUUUAACUGGCAAGUCAAAGGCCAAAGGGAUCACCGUCAUCAGUAGCCAGGGCAGGCAUUAUUGCUUAGGGCUGUGGAGCAGGCAUGGCUUUGGGGUCAUCUCCAGUGGGGUCUUCUCAGUGGUUUGGGAAGAAGGGGCAGGGCAGUCUAUAGGCCCAGGCCCAGGAGCAGGAUGCCCGGGGGCCCUGCAGGAAGAACCCUCUUCCCCAGGAAACCAAGGAAUGGUUGGGGAGAAGAAAGCUCCUCCCACUCUUGGAAAUCUGUGAUUUGGUGGCUGGGGGUGCCUGCCCCUAGGAAGGGCCCCUUAUAAGUGCUUUGAGUUUGGAGAUUUUGAGGGAAAAAAAAGCACCUGAUUGAGAGUGUAGCUGUUUCCAACACACCUCCCCUCCCUGAUGGAGAAGAAGGGAAGGAGGCAGGAAACAGGGGAGAGAGUGUCCCCCUUCAUUCCUACACCGCCCCGCUCCCAGAGCCAACCGGGUCUCCCUUCAAGCUCGUACUUAGUGCAUUCACUUUGGCAUUGAUCACCUGUGAGCUCUCUCGCUCUCACUCUCACGUGCACACACACAUGCACACACAGGUACACACACACAUAUAUGCAGGUACACGCACGCGCACACACACACACAGGUACGCACACAUAUAUAUGCAGGUACGCGUGCGCGUGCGCGCACACACCCACACACACACACAUCGGGUUUCCUUGCAGUCCGCUCAGGCAGCAGAAGGGUGUCCCAUCCUCACCAUCACAUACACACACACACACACAUCGGGUUUCCUUGCAGUCUGCUCAGGCAGCAGAAGGGUGUCCCAUUCUCACCAUCAUCUUUUGCUUCCCAGGGUACCCUUGGCCCACAGGUUCCCAAGACCCAGCCCCAGGCUUGGCACGCGCUGGCAUUCCCAGGCUUUUGAGAAGAGGGUGAUAGAGCAGGGAGCUCCUCACAGGUUAUACAGAGUGUAGAAUAUGUUCAUAUAAGGCUUUGGUACAGCACCGAUUUCAUGUUCUUAUAGUUUGAUUUCUAAGUCAUCUUUUAGAAGAAAAAAAAAAAAGCUUACUGAAAAAAUAGUGUUUUUAUUUACUUUUGAGUUACAUACCUGAAGUUCAAAAAGUAAGCCUCUAGUUGCCAUUCAAGUUCACACUCGAGGGUGUUCUGUGUGCAGCUGUACAAUUUGUUGGUUUGUCUUUAAUAUUGAACAAAAGUCAGCCAACCCAUACCAUAAAGUCAGCUGCCCAAACUCACUUUAGCCAGUCCAUACAUACAUACAGAAAAGAGAGAGAGAGAGAGAGAGGGAGAACACAAAAGCCGCCCCUAAGUCACCCACCCCAAACCCCGAGGGAAAAAUCAGAAAGAAGACAAAAUACAGCAAGAUAUCAGGAGCCAGUGGGAGGAGGGAGAUUCAGCCCAACUGGCCUCUUCAAGAACAGCACCAUGAAGCACCCUAGCGCAGUGAUGUUGUAAUACUCAACAUUCAAGAAAUGGAAACGAGGUUGGAGUGGUCUUCACAGGAAGACCUGGCAUGGAUCGGGGGUCACCCCCAAAGAAAGUGGAAGAAAGAGUUCGAAAUGAGAGCAAGAAAUCUCAUGACGAAACUGACAGUCAUAUCCAGAAAAGAAGAACUACAGCAAGAGGCUGCCACGCACCGAGAGGUACAGAGUUUGUAAGGGAUCUGGGGGAGGUAGCAUCAGGAGCCCCUCCCCACCCACACUGCCUGCUCACCUCCACCCUCUGUGUGUCCACAGACCACCAGGUGAAAUGGAGGAAAGAAGCUCAUCUAAAACUUGCCUCCAAGUGUGCGAUGGGAGAAUUCUAUCCCGCAUGAUCAAAGUCCCUCCUGGGAAGAGAAAAAACUGAAGACCAAGGGGCAGGAGUCGCUGACAUGAAGCAGGAUGUGGUCCCUUCACGUCAGUGGCUGCAGAAAAGCAGCAGCAACUGGUGACAGCGCCCCCUUCCGGGCCCUCUAUCCCUAGCCCCACAAAUGGCAGUUAGGAAAUUAAAUCUGAAUGGGAGGUCAAGACCUUUUGACACUGAUGUAUACAACUUAGCAAGUGGAGCGUUAAACUGCUGUUCUCCCCUAGCCAACAAUUCCCCUUUCUAACACCUCAGUCUAAAGUUCCAGAAUCAAGACUAUCCCAUCAAGUACCUUCCUCCUGGUCCCCAGACUCUGCGACCCCACCCUCCAAUGCCACAGUCAGCCCCCUACGGACAGGAAGUGUGCUCUGCAGGCUUGCUUCUUCCCCCGCCUCCUACUUUCAAACUGCUCAAAGUGGGUUGAUACGAACAUCUACCACAAAGAGGAGUGGCAGCGCGCAGCAAAAAUCCAAGACAAGGCCUCUUCCCCAAGCUGUUGGUUGGUGACAAUGGGGAAGAGGGACAGGGCCCACACUGAUCCAUGGGAGGGCGGUUCUCACAGAUCUCCCUAUUCCCAACUCUUGCUCUGUACAGCAGACAGAGGUAGCAAGACAGAAACAACUCCUCAGAUACCCCCACCUUCUACCAAAAGGGAAAAGCACCAAAAUUCAAUGUCCAUUCUGCUGCGGGGACUAAGGAAUGUGUCCCAAGCAUGGGGAAGAGCUCAGGCUCCUGGCAGUGGCUGUGGGCCGUAGAGGCCCCAUCACAGCACACUCAUCCACCUGUCGCACCAACUGAUGCCACAAGCGGUUCCCAGGCCUCCUCCUUACUCCACAUAAAGCUGAUCUCAAUGCCCUUUGCUCCAAGUGCCUUAAGGGCUGGCUCUUCAGAGAAGCUGGAAGUCCCCUCUGACACCCACCCUUACCUCAUCUUGCUAAGCAGUGGAGCAGAAAGGUCACAGGGAGGCACUAACAUCCCCUCCACACUGUACAAUUUCAAGGUACAUAGCCCCAUCUUCCCUUUCCCUCCCCAAAACAAAGAGUCCAGUUGGAGGCUGAGGAAUGGAAUGGUGACAUGCGGACCAGUGGCUCUCCCAGACCUUGAUGCUGCUGAGGACCUUGGGCUGGCCGUGGUGGGAGGGUGAGCCCUAGGACGUGCCCGUGGUGCUGGAGCGAUUUACUCUGCUGGUGGCAUGUGGCCCAGAAGUCGGGCAGAGUCCACGGAAACAGAGGGGAUGGUGGGUCUAGGAGCCAAAAGAACGGUGAUGGAAGCCUCCCUCGUGCAGAGACCGUGGUGGCCUGGGAAGGCUUCAAGGUGGGAAGGGAACAGAAUUUGCAGCUCUUCUUCUUGCCCAAGCCCCCUGAAAAAUCUUACAAGAUAAUACUCAGCUGCAGGAGGCUGGAAGAAAGAUCAGUCAAGGCAAGGAUGGACACACUGCGAGUGGCGCCAGCACUGGGCCCUUCCGGCUGUGUGGACACAGCCCAUUUCCCCUCAGCAUCCUCGGAAAGUGGGAAGUGUUCUCAGCAGUUAAUCUAAGGACCCAAGGACAGUGCCUGACUGAAUGGCAGGGCCUCAUAGGUCCAUGUGAGGAUCAAGAGUUAGACUCAAGCUUCACCC